ensembl:lncRNA
GUUGUGGUGCGUGGGCUUAAUUGGCUCCAUGGCAUGCGGGAUCUUCCCGGAUCAGGGGUAAAACCUGUGUCUUCUGCAUUGGCAGGCAGUUUCUUUUACCACUGAGCUACUGGGGAAGCCCAGUGCACUUUAUUUCUGAUCUAAUGCUGCCGCUGAUCUGACAGGAGGAGACACAAGAGAUGAGGGUUGGAUCCCUGGAUCAUGAAGAUCCCUGGAGGAGGAAAUGGCACCCUUCUCUAGUAUCCUUGCCUGGAGAAUUCCAUCGUCAGAGGAGCCUGGCAGGCUGUCGUGCGUAGGGUCACAAAGAGCUGGACACAACUGAGCAACUGAGCACACAUGACCUCUACCUUAGGGUGGAGAUGUAAUCUUCAAUGUGUUCAAACAUGGAUCCUUGAGGACUCAAGACCUAGAUAUCUGCCAGAAGUUGUUCCAGGAAUAAUUGCAGCCAUGAAAACGACAGGCUCAUCUGUUGCCAGUUGGGGCCAGGAGAAGCCGUGAGAGCUGUAGAGUUGUAGGGACUGUGUGAGAAACUUGAUAAGUAUUAGUCUGGCAAGCAUUUUCAUCAUUGGGCUGCAUAAACUUUUUUAAACGAGUGAUGUGUACCCAAGGGAUGAUUUCUUUUAAUUUUGCGGUGGUAGGAGUCAGCAGAAUUACCAUGUAGGGACCUUGUCAUUUUGGGGUUAGAUCUGAGUGGGACUGAACUGUCAUAUAGACUUUGUCUCCUACCUGAAGGGAUGGGUAUGGAAGAUUGUGGUGUCGUCGAGGGAGUAAGUUAUCCAUAUGUUGCCAAAGGGCAUCUUGUAUCUGGGCAAUUAAAGGAAAAGGAAGGUGGGAAGGAAAUUUGGGACUGUCCUGGGACGGGGGAAGACCCAGAGUAUUAUGGGCCUCUCAUACGUGGCCUCGAAUGGACUGAUAUUUAAGGGUUUUUUUUUUUUGGUAAGGCCCAGACCUUUAAGAGGGCUAAAGGGAGAAGUUUAGUCCAGUCUUAAUGAAGUUCGAUCGUUAAUUUGGUCAGAAUUUCUUUUAGGACUCGGUUGGCUAUCUCAACCUUACCGGAAGACCAGGAAUGAUAAGGAAUGUUAAACCUCCAAGGAACUUGAAGGGCUCGUGCAAUAUUUUGGGU